rnacentral:rRNA from 1 species
GAUGAACGCUAGCGACAGGCCUAACACAUGCAAGUCGAGGGGCAGCACAUGAGUAGCAAUACAAUGGUGGCGACCGGCGCACGGGUGAGUAUCGCGUAUGCAACCUACCUUCCACGGGGGGAUAGCCUUCCGAAAGGGGGAUUAAUACCGCAUAAAGCAGGGGCCCCGCAUGGGGAUAUUUGUUAAAGAUUUAUCGGUGGGAGAUGGGCAUGCGUUCCAUUAGCUAGUUGGCGGGGUAAUGGCCCACCAAGGCAUCGAUGGAUAGGGGAACUGAGAGGUUUAUCCCCCACACUGGAACUGAGACACGGUCCAGACUCCUACGGGAGGCAGCAGUGAGGAAUAUUGGUCAAUGGGCGGGAGCCUGAACCAGCCAAGUCGCGUGAAGGAAGACGGUUCUAUGGAUUGUAAACUUCUUUUGCACUGGGGUAAAACGGGGGACGUGUCCCCCCUUGCAAGUACAGUGCGAAUAAGCAUCGGCUAACUCCGUGCCAGCAGCCGCAGUAA